UGGGGUGUGGCUCAGUGGUACAGUGCUUGCCUAGCAUGUGUGAGGCACUGGGUUCAAUCCUCAGCACCACAU
rnacentral:tRNA from 2 species